rnacentral:rRNA from 1 species
UACAGAGGGGGCAAGCGUUGUUCGGAAUUACUGGGCGUAAAGGGCGCGUAGGCGGCCUUCUAAGUCGAACGUGAAAUCCCUGGGCUCAACCCAGGAACUGCGUCCGAUACUGGAAGGCUUGAAUCCGGGAGAGGGAUGCGGAAUUCCAGGUGUAGCGGUGAAAUGCGCAGAUAUCGGGAGGAACACCAAUGGCGAAGGCAGCUCGCUGGGACGGUACUGACGCUGAGACGCGAAAGCGUGGGGAGCAAACAGG